UCAUUACUGUACCAGUAUUAUGUCAAGCUGCAUCCUUUGUACUAAAAAUACUUCCAUCUCAACAUCAGACUCUGUGAUGAAGAGUACAUCAGAAUGAUAGGGACUUGUGAUUUCAUUGCUAUAAAGAACUCCCACGCAAAGAAACUCCAUCUAUCAAAUCAGGGUGAUACCUUCUUGGCAACUUAUAGUCUUAGAAAAUUGCUUGGAAAUCUGAAAACUGUCUCUUGCCGAAAGUUAAAAAGCCACACUGUCAAAAGUAGAUUUUCUUGACUUAGAGAGAAAGAAUGUCAAUGGGAGGAAAAAAGAAGACAUAAGAAGUCCAAGAAAAAGAAAAGCAGUCCAGAAGGUCAAAAAAAGGGGUACGACAAAGGUCUAUGCUGCUGGAUCUAAGUCAACUAACUAACCAGGGAACCUGUGUCUUCUCAGAAAGAACCUCAUUCCACUGUGAAGUGUCCCUCAGAUGUCUCCCUAAAAUCAAUGCCUUCAUAAUUUCAACAGUUUUAUUAGAGAAACUCAUCAAACUGAUUAGGGAUUUCUCAAUCAAACCUACCUACCUACAGACAAAUGUGUAUAAUAAGCACACAAAUAUAAAGGGCUGACCAAGUGAAAGCCUGAGCAAUUUAUUGUAUGUGGUAAAGAACAAAAACAUUCUUUUGGACAAUGAUUUGGUCGCCUUGGUUUUAUCUCACUGAGAGGUGCAAACAAGUAUAUAAUAGGCAAUAUAUAAAUGUUUAUUUUUAAUCAUGUCAUUUUAAUAACUUUUUACUUUUGAAAUACAGGCAAAGAUAGUUUUCAGCAUUCAUCUUUGUAAAACCUUGUGUUUCAAAUUUUCCCCCUCCAUUCUCUGCCCCCUCCCCUAGACAGCAAGUAAUCCAAAUAGGUUAAAUAUGUGUAAGUCUUCUAGACAUAUUUCCACAUUCAUCAUGCUACACAAUAAAAAUCAGAUCAAAAGGGAAAAAGAAAGAAAAAAACAAGCAAACAAGAACAAAAGGGGAAAAUACUAUGCACUGAUCCACAUUCAUGGACCAUAGAUCCAUUUAUGUAGAAUACAACUUCAUACCUUCUAUUUUUCAUUUUUAAAUAAGCCUUUAAUUGAUAUUUUCUAUUCCUUAUAUCACCAUAGUUAGGCCAUGCAAUGAUCUCCCUCUCGGAAAGUCAUCUCAUUGCACAGUCUUUUUUAAAGAAGAAAAAAAAAAGUUAUCACAACUGAUUGAUAUAUUUUAAAAGUCCUAAAACAUGUGCAAUGUGUAACACCUGUAGACCUCACAAUACUAUAAAGUAGGUUAGGAGUGAAUUCUCACACCUCUUCAUUCAAGCUGCUUUAUGUUUAUUAUUUUAUUCUUUUUUUAUUUCUUUUGGUCAUAUUAUUCUUUCCAUUUAUAUUGUUGUAGUUAUUACAUGUAUUAUUUUCUUGCCUCUACUUACUUUAUUCAGCAUCAGUUCAAAUAAAUCCUUCCAUAUUUCAUAUAUCCUUAGAUCUUACAUCCUUAUAUCUUAUACCACAUAUCAUUUCUUAUAACAAAAUAAUAUUCCAUUGUAUUCAUAUACCACAAUGUCUUUAGCCAUCCUCAAAUUGAUGGGAAUUUAUUCUGUUUCCUCUUGGCUAUCAACAUUGAUAUCUUUUUCUUUGUGAUUCUCAUGAAUACCCUCUCAUCAGUCCUCUAGAAAAAAUCUGCCCAAAGCAGCAAAAAGUUUUCCUAUAGAACCAAAGAUUUGUAACCUUUUCUGUGUCAAGGAGCCUUUUGAUGGUCAUAUUAGUGAAGUCUAUGAUCCUCUUCUCAGAAUAUUUUAAAUGCAUAAAAUGAACACAGAGAAUUAUAAAGGAAAACAAAAGUUAAAGAACAUAAGGAUAUGGUCUUUUCCCCCUAUAGGUCUAGAAGCUCCCACAGAUCUUUACUAGGUUAAAAUCCUUAAUCUAAAAUAAUAAGAAAUCCAAAAAUAGCUUAUAUUUUUACUAUAGAACUUUGGAGUUAUAAAGUGUUUUACAUCAGUUGCCUUUUUUGAACCUCCCAAGAUACCAGAAAGUAAAGGAGGUGAGAAUUACCAGUCCUAAUGUUCAAUGAUUUAUUUUUUUCCUACGGACAAAUACCAAGUCUUAAUCUUCAUCAACACCAAACAUUCUAUUGUUUUUCAAUAUUUUAACAACUAACAGAUGCAAAACUUGUGAAAACUUUUUAAUAGUAUUUUAUUUUUCCAAAAAAAACACCUAAAGAUAGUUUUCAAUAUACAUUUUUGUGAAACUGUGUGAUCCAAAUUUUUCUCUCUCCCUCCUUUACCUCUCUCCUCUCCAACACAGCAAGCAACUUGAUAUAGGUUAAAUAUGUGCAAUUCUUUUAAAUAUGUUUCUAUGUUUGUCAUGUUAUACUAGAAAAAUCAGAUCAAAAGAGGAAAAACACAAGAAAAAAAGGUGAACACUCUAUGCUUCAAUCCACAUUCAGUCUCCAAAAUUCUCUCUCUGGAUGCAGACGGCAUUUUCCAUUUCAAUUUUAUUGGAAUUGCCUCGAAUCAUCACACUGUUAAUAAGUCAAGAACUUGUGAAAACUUUCUUUCCUGAGGAAGUUUUAAGCUUAGUCAGAGAGUUCUGGACUUGGAGUCUUGAAAACCCGAGUUUGAAUCCUUCUUAAAUAUUUCCUAGCUGUAUAACCCUAGGCAAGUUACUUAAAUUCUUUUAGAUUCAGUUUCUUUAUCUAUAAAAAGAGCAUGAAAUACUUGCACAUCACAGAUUUUUUGAGAAAAACAGGAGAAAUCUGUAAAGCCUCUGAAAAUCCUAAAUAUACACAUACACAUAUACACACAAACAUGAUGCAUCAACUAAAGAUAGAAUUAAGAAGGAAAACAAAAAUUAAGGAACAUAAGAAUACAAUGUUUUCCCCAUAUCUCUCUCUCUCUCACACACACACACACACACACACGUGUGUGUUAUACGUAUAUUCCCAUACGAGUCACAUAUAGAAACAUAUAUAUGGGGAAGCAAUGUAUCCUUAUAUUAUGCAGAGUGCAAUCCAGCUACUAAAUUUACCAUCAUCCUUUCAAAUAUCUAUGCCACUGGAGUUUCCUGUUUUAUACAAAAGUAGCAGGAUACUGACUACAAAUCUCAAUUUCUUAUCUAUAGACAAGAUUAAAAAUAAGAAGCAUCAUGUUGUAGUAAAUUGAGAGUUGUUCUCAGAGCCAGAAAAACUUGCUUUAAGCACAAUCUUUGGUAUAAACUGGCUCUAUGACCUUGGUCAAAUCACUUAACCCUUCAGUUUCCUCCAAUCCCCUAUCCCAGAAUUUACUAAGACUAAAAGUUGCAAAGAUGGAAUAAACCUGCAUUGGAAAAGUGAGUUUCCUCAUUGGGAGGUUCCCUACAACAAUGAAAUCAUUACGUCCAUAUUCGGAAUGGACAGACCUGCUCAGAAAAACAUCAGAUCUUAUUCUCCAUCAACAUCAAGCAUGAAUUUUUUUUUCAAUAUUUUAAGGUACUUUUUCAUCACUCAUGAAUCUUAGGAGCUUCUGUCAUUUCUGAUUUGAACCUAUUAUAAGCAUGAAGAAAUGAGACUCGAGUUUUCUCUGUAGCUUGAGACUGGGAGGUAUUGGAAGCUGCCCAAGAAACCCUGUUCUCAUGAGAUUCCCAUCCUAAUUUCUUGAUCAAGGAUGUUUGGAUGAGUAUCUGAAGUUUAGAGAGUCUGUUCCAACCACUAUACCUUUUGAAGUUCACCCAUCACUAAUACAUCCUGUCUGUCUUUGAUGUGUGUAAUUAAUACAGGUUUAAACAGAUGUUUGUAUUCUGAAAGUUGCUAAAUAUAUACACACUUUAUGCACUUGCCCUUACAGGAGUGUUAGAAAUAGGACAUUUUCUUUGAGUAAUGAUCAGAGCUGAUGAUAAUAUGUCUCUCCAUUUAAUGGCAGCUAUUUUUUAAGGGAGAAUACCUGCCACUUCUUUUAGUUUCUUUUCUCCAUGCAUUAAAUACUGUGACUGUUUUUUCUCUUGAGUUGAAACAGGUUUUCCAUUUAGGAAAGGGGAAAAAAAAAAAACGAGGAGAAAUGGGAAACACACAAUGGAUGAGAAUUUCUCCUCUAGCUGUCAGUGCUCAUGACGAGGUUAAGAGACUCCCUUCAUGUCUACCCAGAGGAUGGGAUUCAAACAAAGAACAAUGUUUGCUCAGAUAAGACAAGGAUUCCAUCAAGGAAAAUAAGAAGGAAAGACAGAAGAAGAGGGGGAGAGUCUCAAAGGUAUAGUAUUCCCAACAGGUAAACAUCUUGCUUUGCUUCACAAUGGGCAAGGAAGGAAUCCACUGUUUGUUAUUUUUCCAACUAUCAGCACACUGAUUAAAGUCUGAAGUGCUUUAUUUUCCUUUUGGUCUGACUAAGAAGAAAGGCCAAAGAGAGGAAUCUGAGGUCACUCUUCCUAAUAAAAACCUUUCUGCUAACAUGGGUUAUGGCUGGAGAUGAGGUGAGCAGCUGGGUUCAAGAUGCUACUCUUCAAUUCAUCCAUCUAAGUGGGAUCAUUCUUGCCUUAAGGACCAAAAGCAAAAAUAAAUCAAAUGGGUAGAGAAAAUAAAGAACAACAAAUCACUAUAUUGCCUGAAAACACUGACUGGAUCAUGGACUAGCAGGAACUAUAGAGAUUAUCUACUUAAGGUCCGUGAUUUUUUUUUCUUUGGUGACUGUGUUUCAAAAUAAUUGGUUUCUAUAAACCUAUGCAUUUUAUUGUACGCAAUUAAAAGCAUUAUUGUGAGGAGCCAAUACCUCCAGACUCUCAAAGGGAUUCAUGAUAAAGAAAAUGUUAAGAAAUCCUCAUCUAAUGGCAUUUCAUCUUACAGAUAAAGAAUUUAAGUCCCAGAAUACUAAAAUGACCAGGGGGUCAUAGUGGGAAUAGGAAGCAGAGCUAUCAUUCAAACCCAAUUCCCUUUAUUCCAAUCCAGAGUUCCUUUCAAUACAUUCAACUGCCUCAAUUCCAGGUCAAACAUCCAUGAAUUAAUUAGUGUAGAUAUACUGUCCACCAACAUAGGACCCAAAAGAGAUUUUAAAAUCUCUUUAUAACUAAGCUUCUUCCUACUUCUCUAGUCAUCUUUCACAUUAUUCCUGUACACAUACUCUUUAACCCCAUCAGGAUGGACAAACAACAAUUGGGCUAUUUACUAUUCAUUCCAUGCACCUAAAUAAUUUUGCCCCCAUUCAUCUCUUCACUCCUUGGCUGAAUGAGCAUCUCCUCACCUCUGCUUCUUGGAAUUUCUGAUUUCCUUCCAUACAGAGUUCAGUAUUAAGCUUUUCUUGAUUCUUCCAGCUGCUAAUCUCCCUCCUUCCCAAGUACCCUGCAUCCAUUUUAUUUGUUUAAAUGUAUAUGUUUAGUUAUGUUCAUAUGAAUUCAUGUGCUCCUCUAGUUGAAGAAAUUAAUCUCUUCUUCAUUUACACCCUGGUGAUGUGCUCCUCCAGACUUAGCCAGGCUGAUGGUCAGACAAUAGGUGUAAAAUCACUUACAGAAAUAGUACUAACCCAAAGAGAUUUAUAAGAAGGAAAAGGACACACAUAUGUAAAAAUGUUUGUAGCAAUCCUUUAUAUAGUGGCAAGAAACAGAAAAGUGAGUGUAUGCGCCCAUCAAUUGGAUAAUGCCUGAAUAAACUAUGGUAUAUGAAUGUAAUGAAAUAUUAUUUUCCUAUAAGAAAUAAUGAGCAGGCUGAUUUCAGAAAAGCCUUGAAAGAUUUACAUGUACUGAUGCUAAAUGAAGUAAGCAGAAUCAAGAGAGCAUUGUAUAUAUAAUAAUAGCAAGAUUAUGUGAUGAUCAACUGUGAUGGACUUAGCUGUUCUCAACAAUGCUGUGAUUCAAGGCAAUUCCAAUAAACUUAAGAUAGAAAGUGCCAUCCACAUCCAGAGAGAGAACUAAGGAGAUUGAAUGUGGAUUAAAACAUUGUAUUUUCACCUUUUUUGUUUUAUUUGUGUGUUUCUCAUGGUUUUGUCCCCUUUGGGUCUGAUUUUUCUUGCACAAAAUGAUAAAUUUGGAAAUAUAGUUAAAAGAAUUCAUAUACUUACCCUAUAUAAGAUUGCUUGGUAUCCUUAAGAGGAGGAAGGUGAGGGAGGGAGAAAAUUUUGGAACAUAAAGUUUUCCAAAAAUGAAUGUGGAAAACUAUCUUUAUAUAUACCUGGAAAAAUAAAACACUGUUGAAAACAAAAAAGAAAGAAUACUAAAAGGCUUUUCAAUUCCAUAAGACCUAUUAUAUUUUGCCCUCUUCUUAGCAUAAUCUUUAACAACUCAAGGUCUCUUCCAGGCUAACAUGAAGCAAUAUCUUAGAAUUGUGGAUAUCUUUUUCCCAUCCAAGUUCACAGAUCUGAAACUUAUUCAUGAUUUUUUGAGUCCAUGAACCCCAGUUUAUGAACCUUAGAUCUAAACUUGGGUUUCGAUGUGAAAGACUCCAUCUACCAAAUCAAAGCAUCUGUAAUUUAUCGUCUUUUUUUUGUAUCAUCUUAUUAUUUUGUAAUUUAUUAUCUCGCCUAAGGCACCAAGAAGUUAAUUUGCCCACUGGGAUCACAUGAUAGUAGAUAUCAGAAGUAGACAUUGAAUGUAGGUCUUCCCAGUCUCUAAAGCUGGCACUCUAUGCAUUAGGCGAGAUUCCUACAAGCCAAGAGGAUUCCACAGGAGUAAUGAUACCUGCAGUACCUAAAAGGAGGACAAGAGUAUAUAAACAUCAAAUAUUAUUGUUCAAACACCCAAAACUGAUGGUACGAUAUUUGUUGAGCAAUGAAACUUUC
ensembl:lncRNA